rnacentral:rRNA from 1 species
AUUGAACGCUGGCGGCAUGCCUUACACAUGCAAGUCGAACGGUAACAGGUCUUCGGAUGCUGACGAGUGGCGAACGGGUGAGUAAUACAUCGGAACGUGCCCGAUCGUGGGGGAUAACGGAGCGAAAGCUUUGCUAAUACCGCAUACGAUCUACGGAUGAAAGCAGGGGACCGCAAGGCCUUGCGCGGACGGAGCGGCCGAUGGCAGAUUAGGUAGUUGGUGGGAUAAAAGCUUACCAAGCCGACGAUCUGUAGCUGGUCUGAGAGGACGACCAGCCACACUGGGACUGAGACACGGCCCAGACUCCUACGGGAGGCAGCAGUGGGGAAUUUUGGACAAUGGGCGCAAGCCUGAUCCAGCCAUGCCGCGUGCAGGAUGAAGGCCUUCGGGUUGUAAACUGCUUUGUACGGAACGAAAGACUCUUCUAAUAAAGAGGUCAUGACGGUACCGUAAGAAUAAGACACCGGCUAACUACGUGCCAGCAGCCGCGGU